CAUGUUUGACUUUUGUCUCUCAUCUUUUAGCCCAAGUAUUGAUUUUAUCCCAAAAAUCUGAUUAUUAUUCUUGAGUGAUUUCAAUUUUACCCUUGGUCAAUUAAAGACCAAAGACCAUCUUUUUGUUGUCUGCCUUCUUCUUCUUCCUUUACACGUAUGAAGAGCUUGCUCACCAAGCUCCUUGAUUUUUCAAGAUUCAAUCCAAAUUCAUUGCAAAUUCCAAUUUUCUUUCUUCCUCUCUUAUGCGUGGCAAAAAUCAGGACAUUUUGUUUGCCAAAUGUCUAAUUUCUUUAUACUCUUCCAUGACUCAUCAUAUCAAGAAUUUUCUAUAAAUAGCCAUUGAAACUCCAUCGUUGCUCAAGCUAAAACCAAUUAAUCUUUCUGAUUGUAUUUAGCCUAAUUUAACUUGCUUCCCCUCUAUUUUUCCCUUGUUAAAAUUCAAGAAAACCAUUAAGACUACUCAUUUUCUCUCUCCUCCAUUCGACCACCGCGGCACGCCGCUACUGCCACCACCUUCUUCCGUCGGAUCUUCCCUUCGCCGCCCAGAACUCAGCCCCGGCGUCACAUUAUCUUCGUCGCCGGAGUCUACCGUGGCCCUGUUGGCUGUUGCUACGGGUGUUGUGUUGCGUGAGUUGCUUGCUUCCUGUUGCUUCAUUGUUUCGUUUCUUUACCUGCUACUGCUCCUUGAAUUUAAUUGAAUGGUUUCAUAAACAAAGCUAUUUUGGAUACCAAGGAGGUGGACCAUGAGUUUUGGAUUAUAAUAAAGUGGACCAUGAGUUAUUAUGAAAGGAACAAAUGUUUUGGGCCUUUAUCCACAACUAACGUAUAAAAGGCUAAUAAGUAAGUAAUCUGAUUCUUUUUUUUUGGCUAUUAAGAUUAAUCAAAGAUUUUUGUGAAGAAAAUGAUUAACUUUUAUGGUUGGUAUAUUUUGAGGUUUAUUGUGGAAUUAAAUGACAAAGAUCAAGGAUUUUGGGAUUCUAAGUUGAGAUUCGUACUAAAUUAAGCAUGCGGUUUACGAUCAAGGUCCGAUUAAGGAGCUCAAGUUGCUCAAAUGAGAGUUAUUACUGGAGUUGGUUAUUUAUUAUGGAGAUAUCAAGAUGAGAAAUUAUUAUUAUGGAAAUCCUGUUACUAAGGUUGUUAUAAGAAUAUUGAUUUAUACUUAUUUUUGGGAAAGUUGUAUUAUUUAAAGGAAUGUUAUUAAGGAUUAUUUUAUUUGUGGGCCCAUACCCACAGGUCCCAGGAUUA